ACAAAGACUUAUGUGGCGAAAGACCUGAGAUAAUAAGAACCAGGAGCUAUUCAACUCUAACGGUGAAUCCUUACCACCAAAGAUGACAUUAGAAUUUUUUAUUUUUAUUUUACCGAAUUCAGUUCCCGUGUAACUCAUUUCCAAAGUUAGCAGAAUCGUCAUGUUCCUGUUUUAGGAAUUCAGCGUUCAUUAUAAAGAUGAAAUCUUGAAACUUUUGCUUAUUAAUUAAGUCGGGACAUUUCUGUCGUUGCUCAGAAAAGAUAUGCUCAGGGAAGUUUUCGUAAUCUUCACAUCGAAACACCAGUUAUGACGUCAAGAUGACGUUCAGCGUAGGAGUGAAAUUAAUGCAGGCAAAAUGUGCGGUUUUUAAUGGGGUUCUUUACCUUUGAAAUUUGCAUUAGAGAUAAUUAAACCCAAAUUGAAGGUUUUACAGCUCGGCAGGUGGAUAGGUAAGGACAAUUAAUAAUCAUAUCAUGUCUUGCCAUGGUCGCAUUUUGACUUUUCAUUUCCUUAAUAAAGAAUUUAAUUGAUUCAACCCAGAAAUGUUCUGAUGCAAAGGUGUUGCGGUGCUACGAAAUGAACAGGAACAAUGGCGGUGUUAUCGAGGCACGUACUUCAUCUUGGAUGAUAUACAAAUUGUUUAUUACAUUUGAUUAGAAGAGGAUCUGUAUGCAAUGAAGAAAUACCAAUUCUUUGAUAUAAAGGAAACAAUUUUUUAAUCCCUUCGAAUGACGCUCUUGAGAAUCCAUAGCUUGGUCAUGCUGUUUAUAGGUGACGCUAUUACCCCCUUCUCCUCCUUCACCCCAUUCCCCCCUCGGAUUUCCUCAUAACUGCCAUCCCCAAUUCCGUAUGAGAAUAUUCAACUCGCCCAAGUUAGGAUGAGGGUAUGGUAAAUUAGUGGGUUUAUUAGAACUUGUUUCAACUAUUGUUCUCAUAAUGAAUUUCAGGUGUUAUUUCAAAACUUGUUGUCUAUGCAAUAUAGUAAAAACCAAGAGAUAACAAACAGCUUAUAAUCUCUUGACCGAUGAUAAGUUGCUGUUGCUGUGUUUGAUUUAUAAGGAAAAUGGAACUGAACUAAACUAUGAAACUAAUAUAAAGUAAAGGAAUGACGGAGAAAAUAAAUUAUAGUUACCUCCUCUUGGUUCGCUUCUAAAGUAAAUGAGUGUAUAAACAAAGAAAGCAGACGAACAGCGAGUAAUUAAAACAUUGGUUGGGGAAACUCAUUCGCUUCAAGAAAAAUCUAUCCGCGAAUGCUUAUAGUCUGUAUAAAGCUCUGUAAUAAUCCAUGAAACUCUCUCCAGUAAUCACUCAUUCCUUUCCCACUUUUUGUCUGAAGGAAUUGCGAAAUGUAAAAUACAACAGCGUUUAAACUCAACUGCUUAUGUGAAGAUCCAACAGUGAUGUUGUUUAAGGACGAGACCUCAGUUGUCUUGAUUCAUCUUCAAGAGUGUUCAAUUAACUUGUUACCUUGAAUAGGAUGCAUAUAUGUCUAGAAAAGCGUAACAUUUCGGAUCUGUAUGAAGCUGCCUGAACAGGCAUUUCCAAGCACUCAUGAUGGUGUCGCGCGGGUGCACAAUAUUUUUCCCGCCCUGUUUCUAGGGCAAAAGUAACCUCAAAGAGGGAGGAGUGGGACAGUAGAAAGUCCCUGGUUUUUUUUUGUUUUGUUUUGAAUUAAUUACUAUAAAAUUUUGCCGGAGUUAGCGUAUUUUAAAAGGGGCAAUAUCCAUCCAGUUGCGUAGCUCUGAAUCAAGGAUAAAAGAAUAAGAGAACUGGGCACAUGGAGUACAAAGCUGGUCUGAGCCUGAAAUAAAGAAUAGAUCUUGUUUCUUAGAAAGUGGUCCUAGCUUUGAGCUCCCCCCCAGUCCCUCCCACACAGUUUGACCUACUCUAGGUAGCCAUGUAUUACCCCUUUACUCCAUAAAACUAAUAUUUAUGUUCUCCACACAGCUCUCUCUACAUUCCAUGUAGUAUCAACAAGAAGAGUUUGUUUGAAAAUCAGGAGUUUCUGAAUAAAAUUAGCAGUCAUUCCUCUAUCCUCAUGAGCUUUAUAUUUAAUUCAAGGGUGAUCAUGUAAGGAGAAGUUAGAUUCAAGUCAGGGGUAAUAAGGUAAAACUACACAACAUAGCAAUUCAAUCUAGCAUUUAAGUCAGAAUGCUCAUAGAAAGGAUCUGAUCCAAAUGUUCCUGAAUCUUAAAGCUACUAAAAUACCAGUUGUUAUGGCUACACCCUUCACCUUAGCAAGGUUUUGCUGACAAGUCACCACCAUAUUACUCUCAGUUAGGUGCUUAGAGGGUAUCAAGCCAGACUUAAAUGUUGAACCAAGACAUCACAUUGACCUUCUACACUUGGGAGGGACUUUCAAAAACCAACUGAAACGAGACAGAAACAAAGACAAAUUACAUUGUUGCAUAGAGCAAGGUCAAAUAGACUUCCCGCGUAAACAACAACA